UCACACUAACUGUCCCCAUCCACCUCAUCAACGGUCCCCCCAGUCCCUUUCCUCUCUACACUAACCUGUCCCCCCAGUCCCUUUCCUCUCUACAGUACCAUGUCCCCGAGUCCCUUUCUCUCUACACUACCCUGUCCCCCAGUCCCUUUCCUCUCUACACUAACCUGUCCCCCCAGUCUCUUCCCUCUACAAGUACCAUGUCCCCCAGUCCCUUUCCUCUCUACAAUACCAUGUCCCCCCAGUCCCUUUCCUCUCUACAGUACCAUGUCCCCCCAGUCCCUUUCCUCUCUACACUACCCUGUCCCCCCAUCCCUUUCCUCUCUAACACUACCUGUCCCUUUCGUCACACUACCGUACCCCAGUCCCUUUCGUCUCGUCACUACCCUGUCCCCCCAGUCCCUUUCAUCUCUACACUACACUGUCCCCCAGUCCCUUCCUCUACACUACCCUGUCCCCAGUCCCUUUCCACUCUACACACUAACCUGCCCCCAGUCCCUUUCCUCUCUACACUAACCUGUCCCCCAGUCCCUUUCCUCUCUACACUAACCUGUCCCCCAGUCCCUUUCCUCUCUACCUAACCAGUCCCCCCAGUCCCUUUCAUCUCUACAGACCAUGUUCCCUUUCGUCUCUACACUACCCUGUCCCUUUCGUCUCUAAACUAACCGUCCCCCAGUCCCUUUCCACCGCUACACUAACCUGCGCCCCAGUCCCUUUCCUCUCUACACUAACCUGUCCCCCCAGUUCCCUUUCAUCUCUACAGUACCAUGUCCCUUUCGUCUCUACACUACCCUGUCCCUUUCGUCUCUAAACUAACCUGUCCCCCCAGUCCCUUUCGUCUCUACACUAACCUGUCCCCCCAGUCCCUUUCCUCUCUACAACUACCAUGUCCCCAGUCCCUUUCCUCUCUACACUACCAUGUCCACCCAGUCCCUUUCCUCU
ensembl:lncRNA